UUCGACCUGAUAUCAGGCAAGAUUACCCGCUGAACUUAAGCAUAUUAAUAAGCGGAGGAAAAGAAACUAACAAGGAUUCCCCUAGUAACGGCGAGUGAAGCGGGAUGAGCUCAAGCUUAAAAUCUCCGUACAAGUUUUGUGCGGCGAAUUGUAGUCUAUAGAAACGUGAUCAGUGUGGGCGCUUGGGGUAAGUUCCUUGGAAGAGGACAGCAUGGAGGGUGAUACUCCCGUUUAUCUCUGAGUGGCUUGUGCGUACGAUCCGUUUUCUUUGAGUCGCGUUGUUUGGGAAUGCAGCGCAAAGUAGGUGGUAAAUUCCAUCUAAAGCUAAAUAUUGGUGCGAGACCGAUAGCAUACAAGUACCGUGAGGGAAAGAUGAAAAGAACUUUGAAAAGAGAGUUAAAGAGUACCUGAAACUGCUGAAAGGGAACCGAAUCGUUUCCAGUGUCUAUAAUCUGUGGCAUAUUUCAUUGGUGAGUGUGUGCGUGCGUAUACUGUGGCAGUGGCUGAUAUUAGGCUGCGCUCGGUGUGUGUGCUGUGUGCAUUUGUUGGUGCCCUGUGCUGCGGUGGGACGUCAAGGUCAGUUCGUAUACUGCGGGAAAUGGCUACCAAGGAGGUCACACGCUAGGGCCUUCGGGCUUGCGUUUUUCCUGUUACAGCUUGGAGCACUAGUAGUCGUGGUUGGGACUGAGGUGCCUACAACGUGCUUAUGUCGAGUGGGUUUGUGUCUCUGUGUGCGCCAUGUGCGGAUAGCUUGCUAUGUGUGUGUGGCUGUGUGUGGAUUGAUGCGAGCNUUAACUUGUUGCCGUNCGGGACGUUGACGAAAUGGAGCGAUCCGAC
rnacentral:rRNA from 1 species